UACGUAGGGUGCAAGCGUUGUCCGGAAUUAUUGGGCGUAAAGAGCUCGUAGGCGGUCUGUCGCGUCUGCUGUGAAAACUCGGGGCUUAACCCCGGGCCUGCAGUGGGUACGGGCAGACUAGAGUGCGGUAGGGGAGACUGGAAUUCCUGGUGUAGCGGUGAAAUGCGCAGAUAUCAGGAGGAACACCGGUGGCGAAGGCGGGUCUCUGGGACGUAACUGACGCUGAGGAGCGAAAGCGUGGGGAGCGAACAGG
rnacentral:rRNA from 1 species